rnacentral:rRNA from 1 species
GCCCUACGGGGGAAAGAUUUAUCGCCGAAGGAGCGGCCCGCGGCUGAUUAGCUAGCCGGCGAGGAAAAGGCUCACCAAGGCUACGAUCAGAAGCUGGUCUGAGAGGAUGAUCAGCCACACUGGGACUGAGACACGGCCCAGACUCCUACGGGAGGCAGCAGCGGGGAAUCUUGCGCAAUGGGCGAAAGCCUGACGCAGCCAUGCCGCGCGGAUGAUGAAGGUCUUCGGAUUGUAAAAUCCUUUCACCGGGGACGAUAAUGACGGUACCCGGAGAAGAAGCCCCGGCGAACUUCGAGCCAGCAGCCGCGGUAAUACGAAGGGGGCUAGCGAUGCUCGGAACCACUGGGCGCAAAGGGCGCGUAGGCGGGUCGUCAAGUUGGGGGUGAAAGCCCGGGGCUCAACCUCGGAAUUGCCUUCAAAACUGGCGACCUAGAGUAUGGCAGAGGUGUGUGGAACUCCGAGCGAAGAGGUGAAAUUCGCAGAUAUGCGGAAGAACACCAGUGGCGAAGGCGACACACUGGGCCAUUACUGACGCUGAGGCGCGAAAGCGUGGGGAGCAAACAGGAUUAGAUACCCGGGAAGCCCACGCCGAAAAC